UACAGAGGUCCCAAGCGUUUGUUCGGAUUCAUUGGGCGUAAAGGGUGCGUAGGUGGGCUAGUAAGUCCGUGGUGAAAUCUCCAAGCUUAACUUGGAAACUGCCGUGGAUACUAUUAGUCUUGAAUCUCGUUGGAGGUAAGCGGAAUAUGUCAUGUAGCGGUGAAAUGCUUAGAUAUGACAUAGAACACCGAUAGCGAAGGCAGCUUGCUACACGAGUAUUGACACUGAGGCACGAAAGCGUGGGGAUCAAACAGG
rnacentral:rRNA from 1 species